rnacentral:tRNA from 4 species
GCGGGUGUGGUGAAGUGGUUAACACGGCGGAUUGUGGCUCCGUUAUGCGUGGGUUCGACCCCCACCACUCGCCCCA